GAUGCAUAUAGCCACCAGGGACUCG
rnacentral:rasiRNA from 1 species